UGGGGAAUAUUGCACAAUGAGCGCAAGCCUGAUGCAGCCAUGCCGCGUGUAUGAAGAAGGCCUUCGGGUUGUAAAGUACUUUCAGCGGGGAGGAAGGUGUUGAGGUUAAUAACCUCAGCAAUUGACGUUACCCGCAGAAGAAGCACCGGCUAACUCCGUGCCAGCAGCCGCGGUAAUACGGAGGGUGCAAGCGUUAAUCGGAAUUACUGGGCGUAAAGCGCACGCAGGCGGUCUGUCAAGUCGGAUGUGAAAUCCCCGGGCUCAACCUGGGAACUGCAUUCGAAACUGGCAGGCUAGAGUCUUGUAGAGGGGGGUAGAAUUCCAGGUGUAGCGGUGAAAUGCGUAGAGAUCUGGAGGAAUACCGGUGGCGAAGGCGGCCCCCUGGACAAAGACUGACGCUCAGGUGCGAAAGCGUGGGGAGCAAACA
rnacentral:rRNA from 1 species